rnacentral:rRNA from 1 species
CAGCAGCCGCGGGAAAACGAAGGGUGCAAGCGUUACUCGGAAUUACUGGGCGUAAAGCGUGCGUAGGUGGUGGUUUAAGUCCGUUGUGAAAGCCCUGGGCUCAACCUGGGAAUUGCAGUGGAUACUGGGUCACUAGAGUGUGGUAGAGGAUAGUGGAAUUUCCGGUGUAGCAGUGAAAUGCGUAGAGAUCGGAAGGAACAUCUGUGGCGAAGGCGACUAUCUGGGCCAACACUGACACUGAGGCACGAAAGCGUGGGGAGCAAACAGGAUUAGAUACCCCGGUAGUCCCUGUCUCUUAUAC